GUUUAUCACCAUUCCAGAUUGAAUAUACCCGAUCUCGUCUGAUCUCGGAAGUCAAGCAAUCUCGGGCUUGGUUAGUACUUGGAUGGGUGACCGCUUGGGAAUACCAAGUGUCAUAAGCA
rnacentral:rRNA from 1 species